rnacentral:rRNA from 1 species
UGGGGAAUAUUGCACAAUGGGGGAAACCCUGAUGCAGCGACGCCGCGUGAACGAAGAAGGUAUUCGUAUCGUAAAGUUCUGUCCUAUGGGAAGAUAAUGACAGUACCAUAGAAGAAAGCUCCGGCUAAAUACGUGCCAGCAGCCGCGGUAAUACGUAUGGAGCGAGCGUUGUCCGGAAUUAUCGGGCGUAAAGGGUACGCAGGCGGUUUAAUAAGUCGAAUGUUAAAGAUCGGGGCUCAACCCCGCAAAGCAUUGGAAACUGAUAAACUUGAGUAGUGGAGAGGAAAGUGGAAUUCUUAGUGUAGUGGUGAAAUACGUAGAUAUUAGGAGGAAUACCAGUAGCGAAGGCGAGUUUCUGGACACAAACUGACGCUGAGGUACGAAAGCGUGGGGAGCAAACAGG